UACGAAGGGGGGCUAGCGUUGCUCGGAAUCACUGGGCGUAAAGGGUGCGUAGGCGGGUCUUUUAAGUCAGGGGGUGAAAUCCUGGAGCUCAACUCCAGAACUGCCUUUGAUACUGAGGAUCUUGAGUUCGGGAGAGGUGAGUGGAACUGCGAGUGUAGAGGUGAAAUUCGUAGAUAUCUGGAGGAAUACCGGUGGCGAAGGCGGCAUCCUGGACCGACAUUGACGCUGAACGGCGAAAGCUAGGGGAGCGAAACAGGGAGUUAUAA
rnacentral:rRNA from 1 species